rnacentral:rRNA from 1 species
UACGUAGGGCGCAAGCGUUGUCCGGAAUUAUUGGGUGUAAAGAGCUCGUAGGCGGUCUGUUACGUCCGCUGUGAAAACCCAGGGCUUAACCCUGGGCUGGCAGUGGAUACGGGCAGACUAGAGGUAGGUAGGGGAGAAUGGAAUUCCCGGUGUAGCGGUGAAAUGCGCAGAUAUCGGGAGGAACACCGGUGGCGAAGGCGGUUCUCUGGGCCUUACCUGACGCUGAGGAGCGAAAGCGUGGGGAGCGAACAGG